rnacentral:rRNA from 1 species
AAACAUCGCCUCUUGAUCAACUAUAAGAGGUCUAGCCUGCCCAGUGACAUAGUUUAACGGCCGCGGUACCCUGACCGUGCGAAGGUAGCAUAAUCACUUGUUCUUUAAAUAAGGACUCGUAUCAACGGCAUCACGAGGGUUACACUGUCUCCCCUCUCUAAUCAGUGAAACUGACUUCCCCGUGAAGAGGCGGGGAUACAACUACAAGACGAGAAGACCCCAUGGAGCUUUAAACCCAAUAACAGCCUCUAUCAAUCGUACCCUAAAAAUUAAGAGACAUUGUUUAUUGGUUUUAGGUUGGGGUGACCAUGGAGUAAAAUUAAACCUCCAAGAUGAACGGUCUUAUCCUAAUCUAAGAGCCACUGCUCUAAGAAUCAAAAAUUUGACAUAAAAUGAUCCGGCAACCGAUCAACGAACCAAGUUACCCUGGGGAUAACAGCGCAAUCCAUUUCAAGAGCCCCUAUCGACAAAUGGGUUUACGACCUCGAUGUUGGAUCAGGGUAUCCCAGUGGUGCAGCCGCUACUAAAGGUUUGUUUGUUCAACAAUUAAAACCCUACGUGAUCUGAGUUCAGA